rnacentral:lncRNA from 1 species
AUGAACAUUUUAUUUAAAAAAGAAAAAAUUAGAAGAUGGAAGAAAUAGGAAAGAUGAUAAGUAAUCCUUGAUCUAAGGGUGGAUGAAAGAAUCUAAAAGAAGAAAGAAAGAAACAUUGGAAUAUAUGGCUCAAGCGUUGGUGAGUCCACAUGCAUAAACAAUUAGGUCUGUGAAUAGUUUGAGGAACUCGUCAAUAAUUAGUAUGGCUGAAGCUGGAAAAUGUUUGUAGGCAUUGUAAAGGCAAUUAGCAGUUUGGUGAGGACUCAACCCCUGAAAGAGGGAGCAGCAAGAAGAAGUGUUCACCCCAUCAUUCAGCCCGCGACACCAUUGAUCUAUAGACCCAACCAACCCAGUUGUAUUUAUAGGACAUUCAUAAUCAUCAUCAUUUUCAGACCUCACCAUUGAGACCGAUACCAGACUCAGAGAGAGGAACACUGCCAAAACAUAUUUCAUCAAACCCAUUCUCACAACACUACUUCCUUUCUUUUCUUUUUUAUUGCCAA